ensembl:lncRNA
GAGAACACUGGAGACAUAUUAAAAAUUAUAUGUUAUGAUUUAAUUUAAAUUAUUAGCUGCGGGGCAUCUGACUAAUGUGGCAAAUGCUUAAACAUAGGUGAGAGCCCAGAAUAUUCAGGUGUAGUUAAAUUUUGGAAUGCACUUUGGAGUUACAGUGAUGUUGAACUAAGAAAAUGUUUCGUGUUUUUAUUUGACAAUCUAUUACAAAAUACUGACUUGCUCUUACAUGAAUUUGGUAUCAAUUCCAAGUCUCAUUUUCUGUUCCCCUGAGGAUGCGCAAAACUGACUGGAAGAGUAACAUGAUCAUAUAACUACAUUCACUAAACAGAUCCAGGCACCUGUCGGAAGAGAAGAACAACUACAUUCCCCAGAGUUGUGUUCAGACAGGAGAUAUAACCCCUGGCAAGAUGAGGGACAUCUCUUUUCAUCUGAAAGCUCAAGAAAACCAUGUUAUAAAUCUGGGUAUCCCAUGGCAAAAAUGGUUUGGCUGUGCCUAUUUUCCCUUUCCCAGGAUACUGCUACAAAUAAGUUUGAAAUACUAAAACAAAAUUACUUUGGUUAUUUUAGUUUUAGAUAGUCACUUCCUUGUCCAGUGUUUUGCAUUUAUUUAGUAACUUACAAUAAGAAAUAAUGUAUUGUUCUGAGAUUAGACUGAUUUCUUAGCUAUGUAACUGAGGAGUUGUUGCAAGAACAUUUUCUGAGUCUAUGCUCUCAUUUCUGAAAAUAUAAAACGGUGUCAGAUAUAUAUAGAACUAUAAUGUCCUUAGUUUUAUUUUGCAUUUCACUCAUUCUUUUGAUAUGAAAAGCUGCUACAAUUCAUUAUCUUGCCAGAAGGAGUAUUGUAGAGAUGAAACAAGUUGUGAUUUGAGGUAGGCUAAAUCAGAAUGGAAAUAUUUUACUAAAGGAAAGCCUUCAAGCUGCAAAUAAAGAGUAAUUCUUCUAUUGAAAGGCUGUUGCCAAAAACAAUAACUUCUAUGGAGCCAUCAUGCCUUUGAUUUAGCAAAGCAAAGAACUGAGGUUUUGAGUCUGAGACAUUAACACAAUAUUUAACAAAGAUAAAUAAUUCUUUGGAUGAGAAGAAGCAUUUCUUGCUGCUUCACAGAUCAACAACUUAAACUUUUUCCAUGUACUUUAGUUUAUGAAUUUUAAAGAUAAUAAUCCUUAGGGGCCACAGUUUUCACAACUCUAGAUGUGUUGGCUGAAUUCUAUAAACCUGGAAAAUUUCAAACAAAAAGACAAUUGAUUCUUAUUUUUUGUAUGUAUAUUUAGAUAUUUGUAUGUAUAUAUAUACAUACAAAAAAAAAAAAUAUAUAUAUAUAUACACACAUACAUACAAAUAUAUAUAUAUACAACAACAGAACUGUUUUGAGAAUGGUGGGUGAAUAGUGCCAGUUCUUUGCCCUUAGGUUCUUAGUAUAAAAUGCAAACCCAAUCUUUGAAAUGUUUGUGAUACAUACAGCUAACAGAAUUAGCAUUGCAAUGCUAGAUCAUUUUUUUCUUGAAUACAGGAAAAGGUCAAAAUAAUUCUUUUUAUUGUAUUACUUGGUCUUUAAUGAAUAGAUAUUUCGUUCCUUUGAGGAUCUAGCCUUAUGCUUCGACAAGAAUUGAAACGUGAUGCACCAUUUACUGUCUGAGAUAAAUGUGAAAUACUUAACAUUUAAUUUGUAUUAAUUGAUACUAUGCCAACAGUAAGAAUAAAGUCACAUUCUUCCUUGAGAGAAUUGAGAAUGCUCUGUGCACUUUGAUGAAUUUGAGCUGUAUCUUUAUAAGUAGAAUAGGCUUAUGACUGUGACAGACAAUAUACAAUUUUUUGGCAACUCUGAUACACUGUUGGUUUUUCAUUGCUGCUUGUAACAUUACAAAGAAAAUAAGUUUGGAAGUUAUGUGAUGCCUUUCUCCAUCCUAAUAAAUCUGUCCCACUG